UCCUGGGGCCCACAAAAGCAGCUCUGGCCUCUGGCACCCACUGGGAGAGGCCCUGGAGCCCCGCCCAGAGCUCAAGCCACCCCAGGAGGAGGAGAGGAUUCUGGAAGUUUUUGCCUGCACUCCAAAUCUUCCUGCCUCUGGGAGCCAAGAUGUCAGGGACAGAAAAUGAAGGAUCAGGGAUCAGGUACCCCUUACCAGGCCCAUAGUUAUUCUGGACUUUAGACCAAGAAGGGUCCGACCAGAUGAUCCAGAAUGGACUGAAAAAAUGGGGAAACCAGCCUGGAGAGAAGUUAGAAAAGGAUAAAACUGUUUUUCAGGCCCAGCACCAGCAAGUCACUUCAUCUCUGUGUGCCUCAAUUUCCUUAUCUGAAGGAAGACUCCAUCCAUGCACUCCUUGUAGGACUGCUGAGGUUAAGUGAGCCGGCGGAAGUACAGCAGGAUCUCCGAGCCCAGGAGCCAGGAAGAUGGAAUACAGAGACUGAGACGAUCCAGGAGCUCACAGAGUGGAUGGGCUCAUUUGCCUUUCUUUCAAAAAAUAUUGAAGA